UGACAAUUUCUUGAAGAAUGCUUGAGCGUUUUCUUGAUGCAUGCAGAAGCGAAGGUUAUUUGGACAGAAGAAUUGCAUAAGAAAAGGCAUGGAAAUGUGAAAGGGAACAGUGAGCAAGGCAUCAUCCAGGGCUGUGACCUGGAAGGGCAGGAAGGGGAGCAGGCAGAUGGGCUUCAAGGCAAGCUGGAAGGUGGGCAGGACCCAGCAGUCCGGGGCUCACAGGCCUGGGGCCCAUCAGAGGUGGCGAUGCUAAGUCUAUGCCGUAGGAAUGCCUCCUCCUUUACGAUAUAUCCAAGUUUAAUUUCUUACUUAAUCGAACCGUGAUGUUUCCCUUUGGUAACUCAUAGAGACUUGGAAAUCUGGGAUAAGGUCUGUCUCUGCCGACUGGCCAUGCUCAAAUAAAGAUGAGUUCUUAGGGUCAUGCAAACUAUUAGGAAUUUUCCUCCAGCUUAAAGUAAGUCAAGUACGCCAAAUCUCUCACCCACAGGGUUGCACAUUCUGAAACCUUUCUGAUUCUUGAAAGCCUAAUUUUCCCCAGAUUUCUUUAAUUGCUUUGUUGGUUUUGCAUUCUUUUUAGCCAUCUUAAAUUUUAUAGACUGCGGCUUUAUAACAUGCUUAAAUAAAGCCUGUUCUUUUUAUGUUUGUCUGCAUUUAAAUGAUGCCAAAUUUAAGUUCAUAUUAUAGACAAAUAGUUAAAUUUUCCCAAAGAAGAAUAAAUUGUAUAAUUGAGCAUGACAGAGAAAUGGAGGUUUCAAAAGUUGAAAUUAGUGUGAGCAGACGAUUGACCCUUUGCCUGUGCCAGGCCUGCAUAUUAUGCUGUUUGCUUUAUCUGGCACCUUUUACUGGCUUCUUCAGAAUCCUGAGCUCAAGUUGGGUUCAGAUGCUGGUGUAAUAGGAUUCUUUCCCUCUCAAAUGAACAAUAACUCACACAGCUGCAAAGAAACAGAAAAGAUAACUUAGAAAAUCCAGUAAUAAAAGCACUGUACUUUGGGGGAAGAAAGGGGGCAGAAAUGUGUAUCAGCUGCAUUCCUGCCAUGGGCCCGGCACAGUCGCCAAGUCACUAAAGUUCUCUGGGCCCUCUUUCAGUCCCUCAUCAUUACCCUCAUUGAUGAUCAUGUUAGAGCCAAAAUAACUAAUCUGUAGGGAUAUUGUUUCUUCCAUAUUUUUUUUAGCAUUAUGGUCCGGAAAUUAAAUGGGUAGAUGGAGGCAAGCCACUGCUGAAAAUUUCCACUCAUCUGGUUUCUACAGUGUAUACUCAGGUAUGUGCUCCUUCAACAAAAUUAGCAGUUGCUGCCCUGUGACAAAGUUUGCACCAUUUUGCAAGAAGAAAAAAAUCCUAAUGUGUUAUAUUACUAUAUUUUUACUCUAUAGAUCUUUUUCUAAAGAAAGAAAGUACAACUGAAGUGCUUAUAUGUAUUCAUAUAAAUGACUAGUACAAGCAUCAUUUUGCAACAGAUUUCCCCUUUCAUUGGAGGAUCUUCUUGAUGUUAUUUGUACACGAUCA
rnacentral:lncRNA from 1 species